rnacentral:piRNA from 1 species
UAGCCAGUGUGACCAUGCAAUAGCUGGA